UACAGAGGGUGCGAGCGUUAAUCGGAAUUACUGGGCGUAAAGCGCACGUAGGCGGCUUGGUAUGUCGGGUGUGAAAUCCCCGGGCUCAACCUGGGAACUGCAUCCGAAACUGCCUUGCUCGAGUAUGGGAGAGGGAAGUGGAAUUUCCGGUGUAGCGGUGAAAUGCGUAGAUAUCGGAAGGAACAUCAGUGGCGAAGGCGACUUCCUGGACCAAUACUGACGCUCAUGCACGAAAGCGUGGGUAGCAAACAGG
rnacentral:rRNA from 1 species